rnacentral:rRNA from 1 species
GGAUGCGAUCAUACCAGCACUAAAGCACCGGAUCCCAUCAGAACUCCGAAGUUAAGCGUGUUUGGGCGAGAGUAGUACUGGGAUGGGUGACCUCCUGGGAAGUCCUCGUGUUGCGUUCC